CCGGAGAGGCGAUGGAUGGACGGAGCUCAGCCCUUUGCGCCGAGAGUGCCCAGCAUCCCGGCCGCGGAGCCGCACCGAGGAGGGCGCAGACAGACGGGAGGAAGAGCGGAGCGAUCCCCACCGAGAAGGAUCCCCUUGAUGUAGCAAACAUAGGAUUACAAGCUUCUCCACGGAGAGAGCAGCGUGGGGAGCAGGAGGGAUUGGUCCAGGUCAACACAGUGCACUGGUGACAAGUAACAGCUAGCUCCAUUCUUCAAAGAAUUACCUGAAGCCCCAGAAACUUUUUGAAAGCACGUACAACGCGCCUGUGUUCAAUAGGUCUGAGAAAUCUAACAUGUAGUAAACCCAUCACUAAUUAUUGGCAAGAAAAGAUAAUAAAGUAACUUGUCAAACCUUGACUUUAUCUGCAUUUAUGAUGCAUUCAAUACCAUGUCAGAUCUAAAAAUUUAUGCAUUUGGCAUGUAUAACUGGACACUCGCAUUUGUUUAAUAUAGAAAUUCUAUUUCUACUAUUGCUAGUCUCAGAAAAAAAAAGUCACUUGAAAAAGAAAUUUAUACUUGACAGCACAAGGAUGGCCACCUCCUUUUAUGUUGACAAACAUUUGUAUGCAUUAUACCAUACAGUGAUUUCAGCAUCUUUCAUUAGUGUACAUUGGUUAUGUUGAUGCAGUUAUUUAGUUCCUCUCAAUAAUUCAGUGAAAGAAAAGCAAACCUAUACCGUAACUGU